UGUGUGUGUGUGUGUGUGUGUGCAUCUCUCUCUUUCUCUCUCUCUCUCUGGACAGUACAGCAGCAAAAACUGAGUUCCGGAACCAACAAAACUCAAUCCUGAUCUUACGGCAGAAUUAUCUCUUCCCAUUCAGCUCAGUCCACCUGAAAUGAUAAAACAGCCCCAUUCUCCAAUGCUCAAAACGUUGAUGUGAGUUUCGUUAGUUUCUUCCUGUGCUUGAUAUCCCAUUCAUCACAUGUAUGAACAAUUUAUGACAUAACUGCCAUCAAAGACUUCCUUAGAUGUAUUCCCUCAUCUCUAUUCCCACUCUACCCCAAGCUCAAAAAUAAUUCAUGGUAAUCUUAUUGCCAACACUGCUGGCUACCUUCAGCAGCUUCUGAGACCAGCCCACAAAGUCUACUAAGCACCUUACAGCAGAACAACAUUCCUAAAGCACCAAUGUCACCAUGUCACUACCCUUGUCAAUAUUUAGAAUAACUCUAUACAGACUGUAGAAUGAAGUCUGAACUCCUCCUGUUCCUGACAUUCUAACUAUUAAGAAUGUCCAUCCUUCUCCUCUCACCUGCCAAGCCAAUUCUCAUGGUCCUCCAGACACUCGGUGCCCACUCUUACCUCUCGUGUGCUUUUGCUCCUACCGUAUUCCCCCUCCUUCCCGGAGAACACGCACACACGCACACACACACACACACACACACACACACAUUCCCCUAUCUAGAAUAUGCUUUCAACCCUUUUUGUAUAUUCAACAACCAGAAUCUCUCACAGGGCCCUGAAUAUUAGGCAAAAAUAAGCAUAAAUAAGGGUUACAUUCAACCUGUUGGCUAUCAGGUCUCUGUAACUAUAAUCUCUUUGAAAGAGUCCAUGUAAAUAUAUAGCAAUGAAAGAAAAGAAAAGGCAAUGGGCAAAGAUAAAGAAAAGAAGUUUAAGGAUCCUGAUAUUUAACUGCACUCCUCUUAGUCAUCUGAUACCUUUCAUUUACAUUCAACCUUACACUUUCCAGAAAUUUUUUAUGGUUAUUUAAGACUACAAAGACCUAUACAAUCUUGCUUCUACCCAUAAAUGAAGAAAAAAGAAUACUAGCAGAUACUUAGAUAAGUUUUGGGGGUUGAACAGACAAGAUUUCACAAUAGUUUGCAAGUGAGUAAAUGGGAAUAAAGAAAACACCCAGGUUUCUAGCCUGCGUGGUCUCAUACAAGUGCUAAUAAAACUGAGGGUCAAACAGGCUUGGAGUAAAAAUUAAAAGUUCAGUGUUACAGUAUUCGAAGUCCCCAGACUGAGAAGAAUAUCUGAGUUUCAGGUAUAUAUACAGAAGACGAUUGAGUGCAGAUGCAGAGCAAGUGCCCAGAAGAACUCUGACUUUUACAAGCCAGAAGAAGACAAAGUCUGCAAAUGAGCAGUCAGUCAAGCAUGGCAAAAAAGAAACAGAGCACGGAGUCCCAGAAAUCCAGAAGCAAGUUUGCAAAAAGGAAGCAGUGAAAUGUUAUGAAGUUUUGUAAGACAAGGCCAGAGAAUUAACCACUGGAUUUGACAAGCUAUGGACACUGCUGCUCCUAUGAUCUCUGACAGUCACAAGUUACAGAGAAAAUUGGAAGUGAGGAAGUAGGACAAGAGAACAAUUUCAUUUGCAGGAGUUUUGUUGUAAAAUGAAACAUAGAAAUGAGGCCACAUUUGGAGAAGUCAUGGGAGAUAAAAGAAGGGUUUUUUUUUUCCACCCAGAGAGCUAAUAAUCUACAGAUAAUUAUUAGAAUAAAUAAAAUACUUUAGGAAAGGUGCAAAAAGUCCAUUGCAUGUCCUUUAACCAGCAGCAAACAACUAAUUAUAAACAUUUUAAGAGAGGCUGCGGCUAAGAAAAGAUGGAGACAAUACUGGUGCAGCAGCAGUGCUAUCAUAAGAAGGAAAGGCUCAUGGAUGUCAUGGCCAAAGAGAUGCUGACUAAGAAGUCCACGCUCCGGGACCAGAUCAAUUCUGAUCACCGCACUCAGGUCAUACAAGACAGGUAUAUGGAGGUCAGUGGGAACCCAAGGGAUUUGUAUGAUGAUAAAGAUGGAUUACGAAAGGAGGAGCUCAAUGCCAUUUCAGGACCCAAUGAGUUUGCUGAAUUCUAUAAUAGACUCAAGCAAAUAAAGGAAUUCCACCGGAAGCCCCCAAAUGAGAUCUGUGUGCCAAUGUCAGUGGAAUUUGAGGAGCUCCUGAAGACUUCGAGAGAAUCUAAGUUAAGAGGCACAAAACUUGGUGGAGUUCACAGAUGAAGAGGGAUGUGGUCGUUACCUCGAUCUCCAUGACUGUUACCUCAAGUACAUUAACCUGAAGGCAUCUGAGAAGAUGGAUUAUAUCACAUACCCGUCCAUCUUUGACCAAUUAUUUGACAUGCCUAAAGAAAGGAAGAAUGCAGAGUGUAAGACAUACCUAGAGAUGCUGCUUGAGUACCUUCAGGAUUACAUAGAUAGAGUGAAGCCUCUCCAAGACCAGAAUGAACUUUUUGGGAAGAUUCAGGCUGAGUCUGAGAAGAAAUGGGAGAAUGGGACCUUUCCUGGAUGGCAGAAAGAGACAAGCGGUGCUCUGACCCAUGCUGGAGCCCAUCUUGACCUCUCCGCAUUCUCCUCCAGGGAGGAGUUGGCCUCUCUGGGUUUGGACAGAUUGAAAUCUGCUCUCUUAGCUUUAGGCUUGAAAUGUGGCGGGACCCUAGAACAGCGAGUCCAGAGACUAUUCAGCACCAAAGGAAAGUCCCUGGAGUCACCUGAUAACUCUGUCUGCCAAAAAUCCCAAGUCAAAGAGCACCAAGCGAGACACUGAGAGGAACAAAGACACUGCUUUUCUAGAAGCCCAGAUCUAUGUAUACUCUGACUCAUGGGGAACAGCGACAUCUCACUCAUGAAUAUGUACAGCGCAAGCAAGCAAGGACAGGAGAAGAGCAAGAAGAGGAAGAAGAGCAGAUCAGUGAGAGUGAGAGUGAACAUGAAAAGAACGAGAUCAUUUACAACCCCAAAAACCUGCCACUUGGCUGGGAUGGCAAACCCAUUCCCUACUGGCUGUAUAAGUUUCAUGGCCUAAAUAUCAACUAUAACUGUGAGAUUUGUGGAAACUACACCUACCAAGGGCCCAAAGCCUUCCAGCAACACUUUGCUGAAUGGCAUCAUGUUCAUGGCAUGAGGUGUUUGGGCAUCCCGAGCACUGCUCACUUUGCUAAUGUGACACAGAUUGAAGAUGCUGUCUCCUUGUGGGCCAAACUCAAAUUGCAGAAGGCUUCAGAAUGAUGGCAGCCUGACACUGAGGAAGAAUAUGAAGACUCAAGUGGGAAUGUUGUGAAUAAGAAGACAUAUGAGGAUCUGAAAAGACAAGGACUGCUCUAGUGUUCAGGGAUGUAGCUCAGCUUUUGGGCUAGCCCAGGCUUCCCUGAGAUCUGCUUUUUCUUUUUCUCCCAACCAAAUCCUCUU